rnacentral:lncRNA from 1 species
CACCCCCUCUCCGGCCCACCCCCUAACCAGCAAAAUAAAGGCAGCUGCUGGGGGCUGGCAGAGAACAGAGACCCAGAGACAGGCAGUGAGAAGGUAGCUGACCAAGCCACAGAACAGAACCCACCCACGCGAGACUCUCCAGCAGGAGGACCGACGCUUAGGCCACACCUGCUACAGACCCCAAACACCCCACCAGCCAAGCCACCUGCUACAGACCCCAAACACCCCACCAGCCAAGCGGAACCCUCGGGGUUUCCCAAAAGGGAAGGACCAGAAGAGGAAAAGGAGCCAUCAGCCCACCUCCCUUCUUGGAGCCCGACAUGCUAAGGAGCUGGCCCUUGAAAAUUUAUGUUCCAAUUUCCUUGGAUGGCAUCCCAGUUGGCCACAUAAAAACUGAGAUUAGAGAUGAGCUCUCGGGUCCAGUUGGCUUCAGCCAUGAGGAACCCCAGCAGGAAAUGGAGAAGGAAGAGAGUGAGAUGAGGCACCUGAUCGCCUGGUGACCUGCCUGCGAGUCCCCCAUGGGUUGUGUGUAUUCUUCAAGAGGCCAUUGUUCCUCCAAAGGCAGCCUCUUCUACCAGUUUCCUCCCUUCUGAUCAUGUCCCCAGUUCUCUCCCCUCUUGCUUCAGAUCAAAUGGCAGAAACAACUCUGCUGCUGCUCACACAGGUUGUCACACUGUCCCGUGGGGUGCUCCUACAUCCACAUGUGUGUAAAUAAGCCCUCCCCAAAUAAACCAGUUUUGAG